UGAAAAAUUGAAAAAGGAAAAUGAAAACAUUGCCAUUUUUAUUUUGUUUUUAUUUUUAAACUGCAAAAAUAAAUGAAAAACAGGGAACACCGCUUUUAACUGAAAAACAUCCUUUUAUUAAUGAUGCAAAAUUCUGCAAAUUUAAACAUGAGGUGGCCCUUACAAUGGACCAUUACGUGUCGGGCAACACGCAUGGUUUGCAUGCAAAUAAGAAAGAAAACAAGAAAAAUAUUACUCUUCGAGGAGAGUGACCCGGAUGAUUUCCUCGGCCUUCCAGUUGUGGAUUUCCAUCCCUGGUUCGCACGGCGUUAUCCACCGGUCCAUGUCACAGUCGCUGUCA
rnacentral:lncRNA from 1 species